rnacentral:lncRNA from 1 species
AGCCCAGUGGUUGUCUUCGUAUGGAACGAUCCAAGGGCUCUUGGGAUCGAAUCCCAGCUUGGCCCCAUUAUUUGUUUCCCCUGUUGUUGUUUUUAUUUUUAUUUUGCUGCACUAGGAUUUCAGAAAAAAACAUCGAUUUUCUAACACCCGUAGCUUUAAGACCGUGCACCGGAUCGAGACAAGUUAUAUAUGAAACUUGACUAGAAUUUCGCGUAGAUUAACAAUUUCCAACUCUCAUGCAUGAUUAAAACCGUUAAGCUUGAUGGUUGCAUCGUUUCGCGUGUCGUGUCGUGCUAAUACCGUUCUGCCCGUAACAUUUGAUCCGUACCUCCGUUGGAGAUGAUCUAUAUGUGUAAAUCGAGUAGGACGACGUGUAGAAUCACAUGCUCCACUUUGUUUUGCUGUUUAACAAACUUAAAAUGUGAUUAGGACAAAUC